CUCUGUGACUCCUACGGGAGGCAGCAGUGGGGAAUAUUGCACAAUGGGCGCAAGCCUGAUGCAGCAACGCCGCGUGAGCGAUGAAGGCCUUCGGGUCGUAAAGCUCUGUCCUCAAGGAAGAAUAAAUGACGGUACUUGAGGAGGAAGCCCCCGGCUAACUACGUGCCAGCAGCCGCGGUAAUACGUAGGGGCAAGCGUUAUCCGGAAUCACUGGGCGUAAAGGGGUGCGUAGGCGGUUUUUCAAGUCAGAAGUGAAAGGCUAUGGCUCAACCAUAGUAAGCUUUUGAAACUGUUAAACUUGAGUGCAGGAGAGGAAAGUGGAAUUCCUAGUGUAGAGGUGAAAUUCGUAGAUAUUAGGAGGAACACCAGUGGCGAAGGCGACUUUCUGGACUGUAACUGACGCUGAGGCACGAAAGCGUGGGGAGCGAACAGGAUUAGAUACCCUGGUAG
rnacentral:rRNA from 1 species